rnacentral:lncRNA from 1 species
CGUUAUGGCAGAUGAGGUGUGGGAGGAAGCAGGGACUUGUUCUGGCAGAGGAGGUGUGGAGAAGGGACUUGUUCUAGCAGAUGAGGUGUGGGAGAAGGGACUGUUCUGGCAGAUGAGGGGUGGGAGAAGGGACUGUUCUAGUAGAUGAGGUGUGGGAGAAGGGACGGUUCUGGCAGAUGAGUGUGGGAGAAGGGACUGUUCUGGCAGAUGAGGUGUGGGAGAAUGGACUGUUCAAUGCAGAUGAAGUGUGGGAGAAAGGACUGUUCUGGCAGAG